GAAGCAUGUUCAUGAUUAAAUCUGUAUGCUGGCUUAUAUGAGUGACUGCUCUCUGAUUGCGUUUUCCUCAGUCCUAGUUCUUCCUCUUCUUCUUCUUUUUUUUUUUUCUUUUCUUUUUUCUUCCCUUUCCUUCCUUUCUUUUUGGUUUAGAGAAGCCCUUUCAAUAUUUCCUUUAACCUGGGUUUUGUGUUGCUGUAUUCUUUAAGUUUUUGUUUGUUGGGAAAAAUUUUUAUUUCCCCUUCUAUUUUAAAUGAUAUUCUUGCUGGAUAGAGUAUUCUAGGUUGCAUAUUUUUUCCUUUGAGCACUUUAAAUAUCUCUUGCCAUUCCCUCCUGGCCUGUAGUGUUUCUGUAGAGAAAUCAGCUGAUAUUCUUAUGGGGGUUCCCUAGUAGGUAACAUUCUGUUUUUCUCUUGCUGCCUUUAGGAUCCUCUCUUUAUUACUAACUUUUGCCAUUUUUAUUAUGAUGUGUCUUGGUGUGGGUCUGUUUGGGUUCAGUUUGUUUGGGGCCCUCUGUGCUUCUUGUAUCUUGAACCCAGUAUCCUUUAGAUUUGGGAAGUUUCCAUCGAUAAUUUCUUCAAAUAUAUUUUCCAUCCCCUUUUCUUUUUCUACUCCUUCUGGAAUUCCUAUUAUGUAUAGAUUGGCCUGCUUUAUAUUAUCCCAUAGGUCUCUUAUAUUGCUUUCCAGUUUUUUGUUCGGUUUUCUGUCUGUUGACCGGAUUGAGUGAUUUCCAUUAUUCUAUCUUCCAUAUCACUGAUUCAUUCUUCUGCAUUAUUCAUUCUGGUUUUUACUGCCCCUAGUUCAGUUUGCAUCUCUGCAAAUGAAUGUUCUAGUUUUUCUUGGCUCCUCCUUAUAUUUUCUAGCUCCUUUCUGAGGGUAUCUGCAUUACUGUUCAUAUCUUCUCUUAAUUCCUUCAGUAUUUUCACGAUUUCUCUUUUGAACUCCAGGUCUGUCUGACUGCAGAGAUCUGUUUCAUUGCUGACUGUUUUAGGUGAGUUCUCCUGUUGGUUUGACUGGGGGUGGUUUCUCAGCUUCUUCAUCUUGCUUGUUGUUUUCUUUCUCCUGAGGGAGUUGUACUCUCCGUUAUCGGGCAGUGUUUGCCUUGUCACUGCCGUGGAAUAUUUCCUGAGGGCUGGCAUUGUUGGUCAAUCUUUUUUGAGGCAGUGUGGCUUCUCUGGAGUGUUAAUGGGGCUAACAGUGUUUCUUUGAAGCAAAGGAGGACUUCCUGAGGGCAGACAGGACUGGGAGGUCCACACCACGAUGGUAGCAGAUUUCACUUGGUCAUGCAGAGCUUGCUCUGGUGUUUUUAGGCUGUGGGGUUCUUGCAGGGGGUUGGCGGUGUUGGGCAGCUGCUCUUCAGGGGGGCAUCACCCCCUGGGGGCUGGGGCAGCUAUCUGGGUCACUGAGAACCUAAGAGGCUCUUCCCUAGGGCAGCCCAACUCAGAAGGACAGCCUGAGAAUGUAGGCGGAUCUUUUCACAGUCUGGCCGAGCUUGUUGCAGCUUUUCUGGGCUGCAGGGGGUCCUGCCUGGAGCUGGCAGUCCUAUGCAGCUGCUCCACUAGGUCUUAGCACCCCCUGGGGUCUUGGGCGGGUAGCAAGGCCCUUGGAGACCCAAGAGGCUCCUCCCCGGGGGAGCCCGUCUCAGAAAAACCGUCGGAGAAUUAGGUCGAUCUAUUCACGGCCUGGCUAGGCUUGUUCUAGCUUUUCUGGGCUGCAGGCCUUUUCUAGGGGGCUGGUGGUGUUUGGUGCUGCUCUGUGGAAGUGUAGCCCCUCCAAAGGGCAAGCAGGCCUGUGCAGGGAGAGCCCCUGCGGUGGUAGGCUUCAGGCAAUUGUUGAGGCCAGCCCUCCUGGAUGGCAGUCAGCCCCAGGUUCCGCGAGAGCGUAGGGGGUGGCGGGGGUGGGGGGAGGGAAUGCACUGGGAAGCACAGCUUUCUGCUAGCUAGCGGGCCUGUAAGCUUGCUGUGGCGUGGGGGGUAUUCUAUGGGAACCCACCCCUUCUUUUCUCCGCUCCCCAGCAUGGGCGCAGACCAGGCUCUUCUCCCAGGUUCCCUCUGAGGCGGCUUUCCACUUCCCCGCCCCUAGAGUAUUGCUCCCUUCCUCUGCGACAGCUUUGUUUUCUAGUCUCCCAGGCAGUCUCUGCCCCGUCAAAUGGUUUAGAGACCUCCCAAGCAGUUUCCGCUCUUCCCCGCCCCCCUAGCCCGGGGACUAAUCUCUGGAGCCGAGGUCUCGGUGCCCGGCCCCCACCCAGGCGUCCCCCGGCCCUUUCUUGGGGACUAACCUUCGGAGGCGAGGUCUCGGUGCCCAGCCCCCACCCAGGCGUCCCCCGGCCCCCUCUCGGGGACCAACCUUCAGAGGCGAGGUCUCGGUGCCCAGCCCC
rnacentral:lncRNA from 1 species